AAACUUACCUGGCUGGAGGCUCUCGUGUCAAGAAGGCGGGACCCCCAUGGGGAGGCCCUCACAUUGCACUUUCGUAGGGCCGACCCAUGUGGCUACUUCGAGUUGAAGUCAGCCAACAGCUCAAUUUUUGCGUGUGGGGCUGCGUUCGCGCGGCCCUGA
rnacentral:snRNA from 2 species